rnacentral:rRNA from 1 species
UACGGGGGGGGCAAGCGUUGUUCGGAAUUACUGGGCGUAAAGGGCGUGUAGGUGGCCAACUAAGUCCGACGUGAAAUCCCCAGGCUUAACCUGGGAACUGCGUCGGAUACUGGAUGGCUUGAAUUCGGGAGAGGAAUGCAGAAUUCCAGGUGUAGCGGUGAAAUGCGUAGAUAUCUGGAGGAAUACCGGUGGCGAAGGCGGCAUUCUGGACCGACAUUGACACUAAGGCGCGAAAGCCAGGGGAGCAAACGGG